UACGUAGGGGUGCGAGCGUUUGUCCGGAAUUACUGGGCGUAAAGAGCUCGUAGGUGGUUUGUCGCGUUGUUCGUGAAAAACUCACAGCUCAACUGUGGGCGUGCGGGCGAUACGGGGCAGACUGGAGUACUGCAGGGGGAGACUGGAAUUCCUGGUGUAGCGGUGAAAUGCGCAGAUAUCAGGAGGAACACCGAUGGCGAAGGCAGGUCUCUGGGCCAUAACUGACGCUGAGAAGCGAAAGCAUGGGGGAGCGAACAGG
rnacentral:rRNA from 1 species